rnacentral:rRNA from 1 species
AUACGAAGGGGGCUAGCGUUGUUCGGAAUUACUGGGCGUAAAGCGCGCGUAGGCGGACUGAUCAGUUGGGGGUGAAAUCCCAGGGCUUAACCCUGGAACUGCCUCCAAUACUGUCAGUCUUGAGUUCGGGAGAGGUGAGUGGAAUUCCUGGUGUAGAGGUGAAAUUCGUAGAUAUUAGGAAGAACACCAGUGGCGAAGGCGGCUCACUGGCCCGAUACUGACGCUGAGGCGCGAAAGCGUGGGGAGCAAACAGGAUUAGAUACCCUAGUAGUCC